GCACAAGCGGUGGAGCAUGUGGUUCAAUUCGAAGCAACGCGAAGAACCUUACCAGCCUUUGACAUCCCGGUCGCGGGCACCAGAGAUGGAGCCCUUCAGUUCGGCUGGACCGGAGACAGGUGCUGCAUGGCUGUCGUCAGCUCGUGUCGUGAGAUGUUGGGUUAAGUCCCGCAACGAGCGCAACCCUCGCCCUUAGUUGCCAUCAUUUAGUUGGGCACUCUAAGGGGACUGCCGGUGAUAAGCCGCGAGGAAGGUGGGGAUGACGUCAAGUCCUCAUGGCCCUUACAGGCUGGGCUACACACGUGCUACAAUGGCGGUGACAAUGGGACGCAAUGGGGAAACCCUGCGCAAAUCUCAAAAAGCCGUCUCAGUUCGGAUUGUGCUCUGCAACUCGAGCACAUGAAGUUGGAAUCGCUAGUAAUCGCAGAUCAGCACGCUGCGGUGAAUACGUUCCCGGGC
rnacentral:rRNA from 1 species